rnacentral:rRNA from 1 species
CCUACGGGUGGCUGUGGGGAAUAUUGGACAAUGGGCGAAAGCCUGAUCCAGCCAUGCCGCGUGUGUGAAGAAGGCCUUCGGGUUGUAAAGCACUUUCAGUGGGGAAGAAAGCCUUGGGGCUAAUACCCUCGAGGAAGGACAUCACCCACAGAAGAAGCACCGGCUAACUCCGUGCCAGCAGCCGCGGUAAUACGGAGGGUGCGAGCGUUAAUCGGAAUUACUGGGCGUAAAGCGCGCGUAGGCGGUCUGAUAAGCCGGUUGUGAAAGCCCCGGGCUCAACCUGGGAACGGCAUCCGGAACUGUCAGGCUAGAGUGCAGGAGAGGAAGGUAGAAUUCCCGGUGUAGCGGUGAAAUGCGUAGAGAUCGGGAGGAAUACCAGUGGCGAAGGCGGCCUUCUGGACUGACACUGACGCUGAGGUGCGAAAGCGUGGGUAGCAAACAGGAUUAGAUACCCCAGUAGUC